GCAUUUGGCGGGAUCUGUGUCUCUCGCUGGUGCUGGCACAGGAGCUUGGGAUCUGUCUCCUCUUUCGCCUCCUGCACCUUGAGAGCCCUGGGCUACUCUGUCACAGCCCCUGUUGCCCUGCGAUCUGUAGGUCCUUGGGGACGCAUAGUUAAGGUGCCAGGACAUCCUGGAAGCUGGGAAAUGAUUUCUUCCAGACCAUGGCUGGAGAAGGAAAGAAGGUGUGUUUUGCCUGAUUCAGGGACUAUAGAGAGAACCAAGUUCUGCAGGCCUGUCAUCUAAGUCUCAGGGCGGGGAGACCUUCCUUCCCCACGGGUUUGAGGCUAUGGCUAAGUGGUGAGCCUUGGUGAGACGCAGAAAGGAUCCAUCCCAGGCACUUGGCUAGAGGCUGAAUGCUAUCCCAGUGAUUGUACGUGCCCUGUUUGCUGAAUCUACUCAUCCUUAAGGGUACAUUUGCUUCCAGGUAACAUGUUUGUGACUAAUACUACAAUGUGCAUAUAUCUAUUCCAUGUUCUGCUUUGUCUGUUUGGGAUAUUUUUCAUACACUGAUUCAGUACCAUGUGUAUUCCCUUGCUUUUGUUGUCUCAUCCGUUGAUGUUACGUCCCCCAAAUUAUUGCCACGACCAGUUGUCAUGAAGCUUCACCCUUCUGUAUUGUGCUAGGAAUUUUACAGCUAUAGGUUUUACAUUAUAGUCUUCAUUCAUUUUUUAAAAUUGACACAUGUAAUUGUGCAUAUUUUGGGGAAACAAUUAUAUAUAUAUGUUGUAUAACAAUAAAAAUCAGAGUACUUCUAUA
rnacentral:lncRNA from 1 species